rnacentral:rRNA from 1 species
ACGCUCGACACCUACGGGAGGCAGCAGUGGGGAAUAUUGCACAAUGGGGGAAACCCUGAUGCAUCGACGCCGCGUGAGCGAAGAAGUAUUUCGGUAUGUAAAGCUCUAUCAGCAGGGAAGAAAAUGACGGUACCUGACUAAGAAGCCCCGGCUAACUACGUGCCAACAGCCGCGGUAAUCUGAGCGGGCUGGCAAGGC